GGAAAAUGGCCAUGCAUGCAUGAGAUGUGUGUAGCCUGUGGAUGAUCCUCCUGUGCCGCGUGUAACCAGGGAUGGUUUGAUGAGGAGCGGCUUGAGGCUCCUAAAUGAGAGGAGUGGUGAUGAGCAAGAGGCUCCUUAUUUAAAGAAGCAGUGAGCAGAGUAAGGGGAGAUAAGCGGGUGUGGAUAUGUGCAUUCCUCAGACAUCGCCUCUACUAGAAGAUGUGUUCUUCAGCUGCUGGCUGUCAGAUUUUUCAGGGAUGACUUGCCAGCUUUUGUCCCCUCUUCUCUGAGGUGCUACAUGCGGUCUGCUGUUGCCACUGCUCUUUCUAAGCAUUAGUUAAUAGUCCUCUCCAGAGGAUUUGUACCAGCUGAUACAUUUACAGUAUGAAAACCACAGGGGUAUCUAAUACAAGCAUCUCAUUUCCUGCAGGAAACAGAACAGUCAUACUGCAGGGCUUUUUUUUUAUGGUCUGAGCAGAGGGCUUAUUUGGCCUCUUAGCUGUGGUCAUAAAUCUCUGUUUUCUGUUAGCGUGAAAAUACUGAUUUGCUUUUGCAUUAGCUUCUUUGCCUGAUCUUAUAAAGUUAUGUGGUACAGAGUUUUGGUGCUUACCGAAGUGCAUUCCAGAUUUGGUGUCUUUACAUCCUUCUUUAUCAAACCCCAUUUCUGUUUCACUGGAUUCCUUCAUUCCUGUUGGUGGAUAAGGGGAGGAGAAAAUAGGAGAUGCAGCAGUGGACACAAGGUCUUCCUGGCAGAGUGAACCUGAAAAGCGUACCUUUGCUAGAGAGAGGAGGAAUACCUUUGUACAUCAACAUGGAGGAAAUGCACAGCAGAGGAGAAAUGGUGAAUGCAGUGACAGCAGAGCACCGUCACAGAACAAAUAAAGUUGAGCAACAGCGUU